rnacentral:rRNA from 1 species
GACGAACGCUGGCGGCGUGCUUAACACAUGCAAGUCGAACGGAAAGGCCCUGCUGUUGUGGGGUGCUCGAGUGGCGAACGGGUGAGUAACACGUGAGUAACCUGCCCUUGACUUUGGGAUAACGUCAGGAAACUGGGGCUAAUACCGGAUAGGAGCUCCUGCUGCAUGGUGGGGGUUGGAAAGUUUCGGCGGUGGGGGAUGGACUGGCGGCUUAUCAGCUUGGUGGUGGGGUAGUGGCUUACCAAGGCUUUGACGGGGAGCCGGCAUGAGAGGGGGACCGGCCACAUUGGGACUGAGAGACGGCCCAGACUGCUACGGGAGGCAGCAGUGGGGAAUAUUGCACAAUGGGCGGAAGCCUGAUGCAGCAACGCCGGGUGCGGGAUGACGGCCUGCGGGUUGUAAACCGCUUUCGCUUGUGACGAAGCGUGAGUGACGGUAAUGGGUAAAGAAGCACCGGCUAACUACGUG